rnacentral:rRNA from 1 species
AGAACGAACGUUGGCGGCGUGGAUUAGGCAUGCAAGUCGAAUGAAUCCCAUCUGGGUAACUGGGUGGGGGAAAUGGCGAAAGGGGCAGUAAGGCAUGGGCAACCUACCCCGGGGACGGGGAUAGCCAUUCUAACGAGUGGGUAAUACCUGGCGAUUCGGCGGGGGGGCAUCUCCCUGCCGGGAAAUGAAUUUCGCCUCGGGAGGGGCUCAUGUAGUAUUAGCUAGUUGGUAAGGUAACGGCUUACCAAGGCGAAGAUGCUUAGCGGGUGUGAGAGCACGACCCGCGCCACUGGCACUGAGACACUGGCCAGACUCCUACGGGAGGCUGCAGUCGAGGAUCUUCGGCAAUGGGCGCAAGCCUGACCGAGCGACGCCGCGUGUGCGAAGAAGGCCUUCGGGUUGUAAAGCACUGUCGAGGGAAGAAGCCGCAAGGUUGAUCGACCCUGGAGGAAGCGACGGGCUAAGUUCGCGCCAGCAGCCGCGGUAA